CGCUGGCGGCACGCCUAACACAUGCAAGUCGAACGAAGUAGCAAUACUUAGUGGCAGACGGGUGAGUAACAUGUAGGUAUCUGCCCUUUGGCCUGGAAUAACACGAGGAAACUUGUGCUAAUACUGGAUAAGUCUUUACGGAGAAAGCUUUAUGCACCAUUGGAUGAGCCUGCACUUGAUUAGUUUGUUGGUGGGGUAAUGGCCUACCAAGACUGUGAUCAAUAGCUGAUUUGAGAGGAUGAUCAGCCACAUUGGGACUGAGACACGGCCCAAACUCCUACGGGAGGCAGCAGUGGGGAAUCUUGCACAAUGGAGGAAACUCUGAUGCAGCGAUGCCGCGUGAGUGAAGAAGGCCCUUGGGUUGUAAAGCUCUUUCGUCGGGGAAGAAAAUGACUGUACCCGAAUAAGAAGGUCCGGCUAACUUCGUGCCAGCAGCCGCGGUAAUACGAAGGGACCUAGCGUAGUUCGGAAUUACUGGGCUUAAAGAGUUCGUAGGUGGUUGAAAAAGUUGGUGGUGAAAUCCCAGAGCUUAACUCUGGAACUGCCAUCAAAACUUUUCAGCUAGAGUAUGAUAGAGGAAAGCAGAAUUUCUAGUGUAGAGGUGAAAUUCGUAGAUAUUAGAAAGAAUACCAAUUGCGAAGGCAGCUUUCUGGAUCAUUACUGACGCUGAGGAACGAAAGCAUGGGUAGCGAAGAGGAUUAGAUACCCUCGUAGUCCAUGCCGUAAACGAUGUGUGUUAGACGUUGGAAAUUUAUUUUCAGUGUCGCAGCGAAAGCGAUAAACACACCGCCUGGGGAGUAC
rnacentral:rRNA from 1 species